rnacentral:rRNA from 1 species
CCUUUGGGUGUGGAAUAACCAGUCGAAAGAUUGGCUAAUACCACAUAAUGCAGCGGCUCGACAUCGAGACAGUUGUUAAAGCAGAAAUGCGCUUAAAGAGGAGCCUGCGUCUGAUUAGCUUGUUGGUGAGGUAAUGGCUCACCAAGGCUACGAUCAGUAGCUGGUCUGAGAGGACGGCCAGCCACAAUGGCACUGAAACACGGGCCAU